ACGUGACGCCCACACCUCCCACAGGAGCCCAAACAGACGGAGACAGUUGGCCGGACUGGCAAGGAGUGCUGCUGUGGGUGGCGCCCAGGGGUGUCGCUACAUCCUGCUGUGUCCAGGACAGCCCCACAACGAGGAAUUGUCAGCCCCAAAGGUCAGUCGUGCUGAGAUGGAGGAACCCCGCCCCAAAGGCUUACCCCCAUGGACAAGCAUCACAGCAAAUCUGGGAAGCUCCUUAGACAUGUAGACUCCUGGGCCCCACCCCAGACCAUGUACAUCAGACUCUGCGUUUGAGCAGCGCCCCCCAGAGGAGUUCUGUGUUCGUUUGAGACCCAGACUGCACAGUGAGGUAGCC
rnacentral:lncRNA from 1 species